GACGAACGCUGGCGGCGUGCUUAACACAUGCAAGUCACGGGGGCCCGGUGGCAACAUCGGGUAACCGGCGAACGGGUGCGUAACACGUGAGCAAGCUUCCGAUUUGUGGGGGAUAGCCGGCCCAACGGCCGGGUAAUACCGCAUACGAUCACCGGACGGCAUCGUCUGGUGAGGAAACCUCCGGGGCAAAUCGAGGCGCUCGCGGCCUAUCAGCUAGUUGGCGGGGUAACGCCCACAAGGCAUGACGGUAGCUGGUCUGAGAGGAUGGCCAGCCACAUUGGGACUGCGACACGGCCCAGACUCCUACGGGAGGCAGCAGUGGGGAAUAUUGCGCAAUGGAACGAAAGUCUGACGCAGCGACGCCGCGUGU
rnacentral:rRNA from 1 species